UCUUAAAAUGAUGCUGCACUUUUGAGAAGGAAAUGCAUGUUAAAGUGAUUUCCUUCACUCCAGUCCUGGCCCUGCACCGAUAUGAGGGCAGCACCUGACACUCCAUAGAACCUGCAGGGGGCCUUGCUGAUUGCUUUCUGGGAGGUGCUUGGAUUGCGCCAUUGCCCUGAAGAAUAAAAAUACUGCAAGAGACAGAUCAGCAAGGGCUUCAUGUUUCAUGACAGGAAAGUGCCAGGGUCUCUGCAAAGGAAAGAAACAGAUGAACUUCAACCACAAUAAAAGCAGCAUAGCAGACAUUGAUCUAGCAGCCCUCCUCAGAUGUGCCUUCAGGUUUUGUGAUUUUUUUUUUUUCAGGCUAGUCAAAGCCUAAAAACCUCUCCCUGAGCUACUUUAGAAAGCAGUGAUGAGUAAUGCUGUGUGCCUUUUAUGCCUUAUUUCCUUAUUCCCAUGUAGGACUAAGGUGUAAGAGCUGAUUAUGCCACACAGUGAACUUGAGCCAUGUCUGCUGCACAAGUGCCACUCUUCUUGAACACAGUGACUCUGUGGUCAGCAAAGGCCUAGAGGAGGGUCUGAGUAUCAGAAAUCUGUGCUGAAGGAUGUGGAGCAUCCUUUGAUGGAGACAUGAAGAUAUGCAGCCUUCUUGUGCUGUGGCUUUGCUGGGAUCUGUGAUUAUCUUUUGUUUUCCUUCCAUCCUGAGAUUUUCACAUUUAAGUUUUACCAUAAAUACAAAAUUGCUUCAAAA